UACGGAGGGGGCUAGCGUUGUUCGGAAUUACUGGGCGUAAAGCGCGCGUAGGCGGACCUGCAAGUCGGGGGUGAAAGCCCGAGGCUCAACCUCGGAACUGCCUUCGAUACUGCGGGUCUCGAGUCCGGGAGAGGUGAGUGGAAUUCCUAGUGUAGAGGUGAAAUUCGUAGAUAUUAGGAAGAACACCCGUGGCGAAAGCGGCUCUCUGGGACGGUACUGACGCUGAGACGCGAAAGCGUGGGGAGCAAACAGG
rnacentral:rRNA from 1 species